AUUGAACGCUGGCGGCAGGCCUAACACAUGCAAGUCGAGCGGAUGAAGGGAGCUUGCUCCUGGAUUCAGCGGCGGACGGGUGAGUAAUGCCUAGGAAUCUGCCUGGUAGUGGGGGAUAACGUCCGGAAACGGGCGCUAAUACCGCAUACGUCCUGAGGGAGACAGUGGGGGAUCUUCGGACCUCACGCUAUCAGAUGAGCCUAGGUCGGAUUAGCUAGUUUGUGGGGUAACGGCCUACAAAGGCGACGAUGCGUAACUGGUCUCAGGGCAUGAUCCGGCAGAUGGGAAGUGAGACACGGCACAGACUCCGACGGUAAGCAGCAGCGGGGAAUACUGCACAAUGGGGGAGAGGCUGAUCCAGCCAUGCCGCGUGUGGGAAGAAGGUCUUCGGAUUGGAAAGCACUUUAAGUUGGGAGGAAGGGCAGUAAGUUAAUACCGUGCUGUUUUGACGUUACCAACAGAAUAAGCACCGGCUAACUUCGUG
rnacentral:rRNA from 1 species